UUCCUUUUGCCGUUGGUUCACCCUCCAAUGGCCGCCACAGCUGGCGCGCUGCGGCCAGCACACCGCACUGAUCCAAAGGCAGGAGCCAGGUGCUUCUCCUGGUCUCCCAUGCGGGUGCAGGGCCCAACCACUUGGGCCAUCCUCCACUGCCUUCCUGGGCCAUAGCAGAGAGCUGGCCUAGAAGAGAGGCAACCGGGACAGAAUCCGGCACCCCGACCAGGGCUAGAACCCGGUGUGCCAGUGCCGCUAGGUGGAGGAUUAGCCUAUUGAGCCACGGCGCCAGCCACCACAGCAUUUUAGAAGAAUUUCUUUCCCACCAUGCAAGCUGUACAAGAUGUCCUGGUAAUCAAAAACACGAGUAUACUCCAUCCACCAUUGAGAAGCCAGCUGGGUUCCAGUAGACAUGGCUUGUACCAGCCUCCACAAUGAUAAGUGAGCUGGGCUCCAACAGCUAGGCUCUAUGCUUCUAUUUGCAAUGUGAAGACACAUAGCAGCUUAUAACAGAGGGAAACCUCACCAGAAGAAAAUUUCCACAGAUAAGAGGUGCAGUUUUUUAAGCAAAGUGAUAUAACCCUGAACACAACAGAUGCUAACACCAGGGCAUCCCACAACUGUGAGGAAAAGGGCUGGUCACAUCAACAGAAGAGAACAACAUCCUCUAGCCAAAAAACUAGAGGGAAGAUGCAAAGCCGUGGGGGGGCCUUCCUUUGCAUACCUCCUCCACUCAGAAUACUGAACAGAGCACCCAGGCCACAUCCAGCAUACACCUUUUGGAACUCACUAAAAGUACAGACAUCCCACUAAAUAAUGUAGACACAAAUUAAAGAGAAAAUUGGCCAGAAAAAAAGAAAAAUACACAAAUGCCCCAAAACAAAAGAAAAACCAUAAAUAAGAAUAAGGAAGACACUAUGAGUCCCCAAGGGAGCACUACAACUCUUCAAAAAUAGAAGGUGAAGAUGAAGAGAUAGAGAUAUCCCAGAAACAGAAUUGAGAAAAAUUAAUCAGAAGCAAAUUCACAGUCUAAGUUAAAAGCUCUCCUAAGAAAUUGAGAUAUUAAAGAGAAAUCAGAAUGAAAUACUAGAAGUGAAUAAUUCAAUAGCAGUGGAAAAAAAUGCAGUGGAAAGCCAUAACAGAAUAGGUGAGACAGAAGAAAGAAUAUCAGAACUAGAAAAUAAAUUUCUGGAAAUAUUACAGUCAGACCAAAAAAAAAAAAAAAAAGAAAUUAGAAAAGUAAAAAACACUGUUGGAAAUCCACAAGAUACUAUCCAAUGACCCAACAAAUGGAUCCUAAGAGUUAUGCAAGGCAUGGAAAGAGAGAAGGGAUUUGGGUCUGGGGCCAUAUUUCACUUGGUUAAUCCUCUGCCUGCGGUGCCAGCAUCCCAUAUGGUGCUGGGUUCUAGUCCUGGUUGCUCCUCUUCCAGUCCAGCUCUCUGCUGUGGCCUGGGAGGGCAGUGGAGGAUGGCCUGGGUGAUUGGGUGCCUGCACCCGUGUGGGAGAACAGGAAGAAGCAUGUGGCUCCUGGCUUCGGAUUGGCACAGCUCCGGCCAUAGUGGCCAUUUUGCGGAGUGAACCAACGGAAGGAAGACCUUUCUGUCUCUCUGUCUAACGCUGUUAAAUAAAAAAGAGAGAGAGAAGGGAUUAGAAGACUUAAUGAAAUAAUAACAGAAAACUUCCCCAGUCUACACAUCUAAACGUAAAGAAAACAUCUUAAAAUGUGCACAAGAGAAACACUAAAUCAUAUUCAGAGGAAACCCAAUUAGAGUCACUGCACACUUCUCAUCAGAUACCUUACAGACAAGGAAAGAAUGGCAAGAUAUAUUCCAAGUCCUAAGAGAAAAAAAAAACUGUCAACCUAGAAUACUAUACCCUACAAAGCUCUCAUUUAUUGAUGAAAGAUAAAUAAAGAUCUUCCACAACAAAAGAAUUGAAAGAAUGUGUAACUACUCACCAGACCUACAAAAGAUGCACAAGGGUUUGCUACACAAAGAAAAAGAACAUCUGUAUGAAAGAAGAUGAACACAGAAAAUGACCCAAAUUAAAUAAUUAGGACUAUUAACAGAAAUAGCACUAUUAACAGAAAGAUGGCAGGACAAAGUUGGUACUUAACAAUAGUCACCCUUAAUGUAAAUGAUCUCAAUUCUCCAGUUAAAAAACACAGACUAUUUGAAUAUAUUAAAAAUGAAAAUGCAUCUAUUUGCUGCCUAUAAGACACACAUCUUACAAACAAAGAUACACUCAGACUGAAAGUGAAAGUACGGGAAAAGUUGUUCCAUGCUAACAGAAACCAAAAAAAAGCUGGUGUAGCCAUCCUAAUAUCAGACAAAAUAGACUAACAGAAAAACUGUUAAGAGAGACAAAGAAGGACACUAUGUAAUGAUUAAGGGAUCAAUUCAACAGGAAGAUGUCACUACUAUAAACAUAUAUGCACCUAAUUACAGGGCACCUGGCUAUCUAAAAGAAAUGUUAAUAGAUUUAAAGGGAGACAUAGACUCAAAUACAACAGUAAUGGGAGACUUAAAACCCCACUUUCAGGAAUGGCUGGUCAACCAGACAAAAAUCAACAAGUUGGGGCCAGCGCUGUGUCACAAUAGGUUAAUCCUCUUGCGGUGCUGGCAUCCCACAUGGGUGCUGGUUCUAGUCGUGGCUUCUCCUCUUCUGAUCCAGCUCUCUGUUGUGUCCUGGGAAAACUGUAAAAGAUGACCCAAGCGUUUGGACCUCUGCACCCCUUUGAGAGACCCAGAGGAAGAUCCUGCCUCCUGGCUUUGGAUCAGCUCAGCUAUGGCCGUUGCAGCCAUUUGGGGAGUGAAACAGCAGAUGGAAGAUCUUUCUCUCUCUCUCUCUAACUCCACCCUUCAAAUAAAUAAAUAAGUCUUUAAAAAAAUCAACAAGGAAACAGCAGAGUUAAUCAAGACUAUAGAACAAAUGGACCUAACAUAUAUCUAUAGAGCCUUCCACUCUACAGCCACAGAAUAUACAUUUUUUUUCACCAAUGAAUGGAACUUUUUCUAGGAUUAACAACAUGCUAGACCUUAAAGCAAGUCUCAGCAAAUUCAAAAAAAUCAAAAUCAUACCAUGUAUUUACACAGACUACAAUGCAAUGAAGAUGGAAAUAAGCAACUCUGGAAUUUCUAUAACAUAUGCAAACACAUGGAAACUGAGCAAAAUGCUGCUGAAUGAACAGUAGGUCAUAGAAGAAAUCAAAAGAAAUCAAUUUCUGGAAACAAAUAAAGAUGACAGUGCAACAUAUUGAAACUUAUGGAAUACUGCAAAAGCAGUGAAAGAUUAUAGCAAUUGAAGCCUAUAUCAAAAAAAUAAACAAAAUCGACACACCAUUGUCCCAACUAACCAAAAAAAUAAAAAGAGAAAGAAGACCAAAAUCAAUAAAAUUAGAGAUGAAAAGGGAAAUGUAACAACAAACACCACAGAAAUUAACAGAAUCAUCAGAAAUUACUACAAAGAGCUGUAUGCAAACAAACUGGGAAAUCUAGUUUAAAAGAAACUGAUAGAUUCCUGGACACAUACAACCUACCUAAAUUGAGCCAUGAAGACAUAGAAAAACUAAACAGACCCAUUACCAAGAUGGAAACCAAAUCAGUAAUAAAGGUUUUCCCAACAAAGAAAAGCCCAGGACAAGAUGACUUCACUGCUGAAUUCUACCAGACAAACUCCAAUUCUUCUCAAGCUAUUCAAAAUAGUUGAAACGGAGGGAUCAUCCCAAAUUCUUUCUAUAAAGCAGGUAUUGCUUUAAUUCCUAAACCUGGAAAAGAUGUGAAAGAGAAAGAGAAAAGAGAACUAUAGACCAAUUAGCCUGAUGAACAUAGACACAAAAAUCCCCAACAAAAUUCUAGGCAAUUGAAUUCGACUCGUAAGAGUUAACUGUAAGACUUGUUCUCAAACAGUUUUGUGUGUGUGCCUGUGUGGGCAAAUUGUUGAAAUCUUUACUUAGUAUAGAUUUGAUCUUCUGUGUAUAAAGCUAAUUGAAAGUGGAUCUUAAUGGAGAAUGGGAAUGGGAGAGGAAGAGGUAGGGUGAUUGUAGGGGUGGGAGGGUAGUUAUGUGGGAAGAAUCAGUAUAUUCCUAAAAUUGUACUUAUAAAAUUUGUAUCAUUAAACAAAAGGUUUCUUUGGGGAAAAAAAGAAAAUACAAAAAUAUGUUGUGCCAAAAAUAAAAAAAAAAAAAAACCCUAUCUGCACAGGUGCUAGUCUGGCUUGAACUCAAUUUUAAGACCAUCUGGGAAAAUGAGAUCAGAGGAGAAAAUUGAGGCUGUUUCUUUUUCUUUUCUGAACAGCAUGCAAGAAGAUUUAGGUCACCAUGUGCAUCUCCCUGCACGUGAAGAGGCAGCAGUGUGAGUCAGCUCAGAACAUAAGGAUACGGGACACGUGCCAGCAUUUAUCAGAGCCCUGUGCAGUACACAGAGAAGUACUCAUCUGGAGCCAUCCCUGAGAAGUGACAACCCAGAGAGUCAGACACAGAGAGACAUAGAGGUUUGCAAUUCACUGGUUGAAGUCAGGAGUCCAGCACUCAGUGCUCACCACUUGACCUAACUGAGUCAUCAUGGCUGCUUCCCAGGGUAUGUAUUAGCAAAAGUUAGAAUGGAAGUGGAGCUGGGAUUGGAACCCAGGAACUCCAGAAUCGAAUGCAAGUAUCCCAAGCAGGGCCUUAACCAUUGCUACAAAGCCCACCCCUGUAGACAGUAUUUUAAAGUGUUCUUUUUUUCUUAUAAUCUUUCUCAGUUUGCAUGUAUUUUACUUACCAUUAAUAUAGUAAAAUCUAUAAGACUUACGUUUUUAUUUUCCCCCAAAUUUCAUAAUUACAUAUCCUGAAAGGUAACAUGAAUUGGCUGACACAAUAAAUAUGCUCUGGGUGCAUAUCAACGUAUUAUAUUAUAGAUGGAUAAACUAUUGUGUAUGAGGGCACAGAAAAAAAAUGUGGAAAAUGGAAUGAAAAGACACAUUCAGUUUGGUGAAAUUCUUUUACAAAAAAUCUACUUUUUUGAUUUUCAUAAUAGGUGUUUUCUGUGAAUGUUUUGAAGGUGUCUCAUAUAUGUCAAUUCAGAUAUUCAUGCAUUAAAUACAUCCAUCCUUGAAAAGUCAGCUUCCUCCCUGGCCACCCUCUCACGAAUCUGGCUCUAGGACUCACGUGUGAGCCCAGCGAACAUUUAUGUAAACUCAGUUACUCCUCUGCCUGGGAACCUGUUCUGUGGCUGCACAUUCGCAGUGUUCUCCCAGCCAUCCCUGCUCCUGGGAGACUUUCAAAAGCAUAAUCAGGAACCCAAUCAACUACAAUGGGAUUAACGUUUUUAUUAUAAUGAUGUGCUAAAUGGAGACAUCUAAUUGUAUCCUCCUGGCUAGUCACAUUUAUUAGUUAAGAAAUCUCUCAUAAACUCUAUUCAUAAUAGCUUCCUCAUGUCUUAGAAAAAUCAAUGUUAAUUUUGCUUCUCAAGGAAACAAUUAAGGUGCUGGAAGAAAAUAAUCCCCGACUUUUUCUUUGGAGACUUAGAAAAUCAUCGUGGGCUCUCUCCUGAAUGUAAAACAGCAUCCUUACACUGUCAGAUGGCUUCCACCUACUGAGCAGGAUCACAAGUGUGUCUCACCAAGGAGCAACACCCUCCUGCACACUACUGCUACCUACUACUGACUGAGCAGAGUCACAUGCAUGUAUCAUUAAGGCCAAACACGGAGAGAAAGGAGAAAUGAAAGACAGACGGUGGAGGAGUCACAGACCAUCAGCUGUGCCUUUGGUGCUGGAAGAGACUUCCACUCUGCUGUGAUGCAAGGUUUCCCCGCCCCUUCUACAUUUGCAAGGAGCUGGAAGCAUCUGCUGGCUGACACGUGGCUGCUGUGAGUGGGUAGACCUGUAGGCAACAGGUAAGUUAUAAGCAUGCAAUUCCAGUUAAUUGUCAUGCAUGAGGCAUGGAAGUCUCAGGAUAAAGCAAACAUGUGCUGUUAAAAGUGAAGACAGAACUGGGCUGGCACUGUGGUGUAAUAGAAUAGUCUCUGCCUGCAGUGCCAGCAUCCCAUAUGGGCAGCCGGUUUGUGUCCUGGAUGCUUCUUUUCCCAUCCAGCUCUCUACUUAUGGCCUGGGAAAGCAGUAGAAGAUGGCUUAAGGACUUGGGCCCCUGAUCCCAUGUGGGAUUCCCCAGGGAGUCUCGUGGCUCCUGGCUUUGGAUUGGUCCAGCUUCAGGCAUUGCGGCCAUUUGUGGAGUGAACCAGAGAAUGGAAGACCUCUCUCUGUCUCCCCCUCUCUCUGUAACUCUACCUCACAAAUAAAUAAAUAUUUAAAAAAAAUAAGACAGCAUUCAUUCAGUAAUGAUUACAUUUGUCAUUGUCACCUGGUAAUGUCUAUGUAGUAUGAUAGGCUCCCACAAGGGUACAAAAGUACAUGGGAGGCAGAAUUAAAAGCUGAACUUAUUUUGGGGGCCAAUGUUGUGGUGUAGCAAGUAAAGCUGUCUCCUGCGACACCAGCGUCCCAUAUGGGCUCCAGUUCAUAUCUUAGCUGCUGCACUUCUGACCCAGCUCCCUGCUAAUGGCCUGGAAAAAACAGCAAAGGAUGGCCCUAGUGAUUGGGUCCCUUCCAUCCAUGUGGGAGACUUGGAUGGAGGUCCUGGCUCUUGGCUACGGCCUGGCCCAGCACUAGGUGUUGUGGCCAUCUGGGGAGUGAACCAGUGGAUGGAAGAUUCUUCCUCUCUCUCUCUCGUCUCCCCCUCUGUCUCUGUUAAGUCUGAGUUUUAAAGAAAUAAGUAACUUCUUUUUUUUAAAUAAAGUUAUGCUUAUUUAGGUACAAAAAUUCAUGAAACCAAUGCAAAGGCAUGGUCUUCAAAAACAGCCAUAGAAAGUGAAUGUUAGGGAAAACCAUUUCUAAACUUUUCAAAGCUUAAUGUUUUUUGAGAUAACAAAUUUCAAUUUACAUUAUAGUCAAAGGCUUAAUGGCUCUACUACAUAAAAAAGCUCAACAAUUAAAAAGUAAAUAGACGAUAGUGCAUUGAGGAAAAAAGGCCAGGGCUAUAAACAAUCAGAUGAAAAGUUGUUCAACCUCACUCAUACCAUGUAAAGUUUUAAAAUAGUCACAACAUCAUUAAAACUAAAGUGGUAUGUAACUCCUUCCAAUUUGACAAAGAUUUAAAACAGAUUGACAAGACACUGUAUUUGCAGCAAAACUGAUACACACAGGCAACUCUUUCUGGUUUCAGUUUUGAAUUUUUUUUUUCAAUUUUAGCCCCCACAUGCAAGACAGAACAUGUGGUAUUUGUCUUUCCCUGCCUGACUUAUUUCACUCAACAUGAUGUCCUCAAAAUAGCUUACACCAAAACAAAUAUGUGUGAAUUCCAUUUUUCCAUGAGCCUUUGGAAGCACCCUGUUGGAUGUUGUAUGCUAGCCCUGCUCAUCUUCUCCAGGCUUGGGAUGCGCAGGACACACUCUUCCAGGACGACAGCCCUGGAGCCCCGAGAUUCUGAGCAUCCCCUGGGGACAGGCUGUGCUGACCAGCAGGGGAAAGGGGCAAGUGUCUCUCUCUCUCACUGUCUAACUCUGCCUGUCAAAAAAAAAAAAAAAAAAAAAAAGAGAGAGAGAGAGAGAGAAGAUUAUGGUUCCUUUGCCUUCACAGUUCCCCAUGGGGUCAGGCUGCAGGAUGACUCAGUUCGUUUCUUCCUCUACCCUCUGCUUCAGUGACUUCCACUCAGCUUUCCCUGGGAGCAUGCCCCUGUCUUACAUAAUCUGGGUGGGAAUCCCUGUCCCCGGCUCUGCUUCAAGGGAACUUGUCCUUUGUGGCUGCUGCAGGGCCACUGAUCUUCAUGAUGGCAGGUGCACAGUAUCUGUGAGUCUGCAGAGUUCACACAAACACCAGUUCCUGAACAAAUUCUGGAUUGUAUUUCAUAAUAAACAUACACUCAAGAAUUGCUGAGAGAUCCUAAAUGUUCUUAUCGUAAAAAGUGAGGUGAUUGAUAUGUUAAUUAACCUGCUAUAGCCGCUGUAAAAUAUAUAUGUGUAUACACAUAUGCAAACAUCAUGUUGUGCAAAUGAUAAAUGUAUCUUUUAUUUGUCAAUUUAAAAAUUAAAAAAGUUUAUGUAUAUUCCAAAGAUGCUUGGGUCAAGUGCAACUAGCAGGUAGAAUUGCCUGUAGUGUCCACUGCUGGAGGAUGCUUGCUGGACACUUACCUUUCCUCCUGGUUCUGAGUUAUGCCUCUCGUCUUACUGGUGGAUUUCAUGCAGGGCUGAUGAAUAUGCUUGUUGCUCACCUCUGGGAAACACUGUCCAAAUACUGCCACUGUGUGUGACUGCUGACAGUUCCAGGUUCCCUCACAAUUGCUGCUUGAACAGAACUUUCAAGAACAAUACGGCUCUGUUUUUCAAAAAUCUAGAUUUUCAAAUUUCUGGUCCUGUUGAAAUAUUGAGAGGAUAGAAUAUUAAAGGCAUCAGGUUUAAACUCUUAACUCCACUGGCUCUAUUUUUUUUUUUUUAUUUUGGGGGUGAGCAUUAUGUUGCAGUGGCUUAAACCACGGCUUGGGACACCAGCAUCCUAUAUGUGAGUGUUGGCUCAAGUCCUGCCUACUUAUGUUCCAGCCCCCAAAUAACGUAUCUGGGAGGCAACAGAUGAUGGUGUAGCAGGUAAAGUCGCCGCCUGCAGGGCCAGCAUCCUGUAUGGGCACCAGUUCGAGUCCUGGCUGCUCCACUUCCAAUCCAGCCCUCUCUUUGUCCUGAGAAAGCAGCAGAAGAUGGUCCAAGUGCUUGGGACCCCUGCAUCCAUGUGGGAGACCCAGAAGAAGCUUCUGGCUUCUGCCUUCAGAUUAGCCCAGUCCCAGCCAUUGUGGCCAUCUGGGGGGUGAACCAGCAGAUAGAAGACCUCUCUGUCUACCUCUGCCUCUCUGUAACUCUGCCUUUCAAAUAAAUAAAUAAAUAAUUUAAAAAUGCAUACAUAAAUAACUCUUAAAAUAAUAAAAUGUAUCACUUCCAGGGGAAAAGCUCUACCCAUGUGGUUGUGCACAGCUUUAACAGCUAUCUUACUUUCAAAAACCAUCCGCAGCCUCCAAGCACAGUCUUUUUCUGACAAGGACAGGGGGUCUUUUAGCUGCCAAGGUUUCGCCUGAGUCAAUUUUAAUUAAGCAGCCAGGGCAGAGGCUUAUCUUGUUUCUGCCCAUCUCAGUGAUAUUAAUGGAUGUCUGCUGGAGGCUGAAGACAUUUUGUUCAGGGACAUCUGGUCUCCCAGUGGUGGAGCUGGACCCCAAUACCAGUCAGUGUAGUGAGAGAGCAUCCUCAGGACUCAAACCCUUUUUGUCCUGCCAAAGCUUUAUGGGGAGCAGAGACUGCAGCAGGAUGCUAUGUGAUAUGUCACCUAGAUGGAAUGGCAAAUGGCAGUUAACUGGCCUCUGUGUAUGGGGAGGUUCUCUGCUGGAAGUUACAUGCUGGCUGUGUAGUCUCUCCUGGGUGCCUGCCAUGCAGUCCCCUCCAGCGUGCUUUGUCUUCCAAAGGAGUGGAGGAGCUGGGAACCCACAUCCGCAGAGCUUGCUCCCUUCAGGGUGGGACCACAAACAAUAACACCAAGAAGCAGAAGAAAGCAUCUUUGUUUCUUUCCAGUGAGGGUCAGCUGCUCCCAUGCUGGAGCGAGUGAGUGAUACAGCAGCCUUCUCCUCAGAGUCCACUCCUGUUCAAGGGCACCCGUGGCUUCCUGAGAGCAAUGCAGGGCAUUUAGGAGACUGUGCGCCCUGCCUUGCUGACUUGAGGUAAGGAGAUGUAACCAGGGGAAACAGGUGCAUGCUGCAGGCUUCAGUAAGUCGAGGGCCUGAGAUACUUAAUCUGAGCUCACACUGAAUUAAAAUUCCCGUCGUCUGUCACAGUGUCUUUCCCAGGGCGCACCAGCACUCAGCUGCAAUUUUUGCUGUCUCAUUAAUCCUCUCUGCUCUCACCCUUCAUUUCCUCUUGGAUAGGACUGGAGUGGAGCCGCCCCCGGAUUCUUGGGCACUUACCUAUGCACCAAUUAGCAGCAAUUCCUGAGCAUUUGGGAGUAUCUAGAGGAGAACAAAAAGCUGUAGAGGAAAAUAGAAAGCUGAUGUUUCCAGUGUGCAUUCAGGCUGUCAUUUCCAGUUUCCACUAACAGGUGCCAUAACAGAGCAGAGUCAUGGAGCCCUCUGCUGACACCUGGUGGAGAAGGAAAAUACAACCUCAGCCACAGUUUUUAACGAAGUUAAUUGAGUGCACUUUUUGCUUUGAAACAAAGUAGUUUCCUCUGAAAUUAAAAGUUGAUGGAAUUAACAAGCACCCCAGGCAGCAAUGCAUGCACACAUUUCUUCUUCUGUGUUGGUGUAUUUCUUUGCCAUUGCAGACUAAAUCUUUUUUUUAAAUGUUUUAAAUUUUUGAGAUAACAUUUUAAAUUUACGUUUUAGUCAAAAGGCCUAACGCACCACCUAAUAAAGAGUUCAACAAGUAAGAAGUAAAAAGGCCUCAGUUCAGUGGGAAUAUAGGCAAGGGCUAUCACCACUAACCCUCUUCUGAUUUACAAAGCUGACGUGUCCACCCUGAUGUGGUGCUGUGAAUAUUGGAGACUACGUACGGAAAGUAUAUGGUUCAACCCCAAAUCACCUCUGCUUUCUGCCCACCAGCACAAAAUGCUCUCAGGUCUUCCUCUCUUUUUGCAAACCCAACAGAGGGGCCAUCUCUGCCUAUGGCUUCAUCCUCCUCCCUCUAUUCUCCUCUCUCCCCUGCUAUCAACACUUAUUUCUGGCUUCUACCCACACCUCCAAACCUACAACAUUUACAAAUAAAAUAACCGCCAUCAGUCAACAGUAGCAGCACCUGCCAGGACAUCCACCCUCCCUCCUCUCCCCUCCCCUCUUCCCCUUCCC